AACCAAGUUUGCUUGACCCUUCGGCCAUAAAAGUAAAGUGCAAUUUUUCGUAGUGUGUUAAUCAAGUUCUUAACGGUCAAAUGGCACAAACUAUACGAAAAAUCACUAAUAUCUAACAAAGGUGUCUCUGCACGUUGCAUCAAUGGAGCCAGUGUUGCAGUUUACAGAAUGCAAUCAGGAAAAGAUAACCGAAACACAAUUUUAUUGAACAGUAACGACGUUCAUCGCUCGACUGCAAUUAAGGAAAUGCAGGUCAUGAACCCAGAUAGAAAUUUAUUUUGUUCUCUAAAUGUUCCAAUAAGUACUUAAGAACAAUCUAGUAUCAAAUCGAUACUUCCUAUCGUAGUAUACUUUCUACCAUCUAUGAACGGGUUUGUGGCGGAUGGAAAAAGGAAAAUAAGAAAAAGCUCGGUGGUCGUGGACGCAGAAUGAUGCGUCGCGUCGCGUCAUGACGUAAGAGUCCCGGAUUCGCGGUCGCUAUAUUUAGGCUGCCCGGGCCCCGGUCCGUUUUUAGUUGGAAACAGGUGGACAUCCAAGCUGUGCGAAGGCAGCAUAGUCGACGAGUCUCUGGCUGACUUUGACCGAUUUUCGCGAACCCCCCCCUCCCCCUUCCUCAUCGGAAUGGGCUGCUUUAUGCCCGCGACGACGAUAAUGACCCAUAAAACAACACGUGCCCACCCUUCGGUCCAUAGGAUUUCAUGCGCGGCUAAUUAGAGAAUUUAUUUGUUCAAAUCGUUCAAGAUCAUCUGGACUCAUUUAAAAGUUUAUUGCUUAAGAGUGUUUCGAUAAUUUGAUAGUUUAUAUGCCUGCAAGGUGGAUAUCAAGGGAAUUUAUUAUUCCGAGGGAGUCGAAGAUGAAAUACCUUGUAUUCAGAAUUCGCUGGAAUUAAUUUCCUGUUUGAGAAGAUAUCUGAUAGUUGGAGGAUGUUUGUAUACACAAGAAACGGAGAUUCUACAGGGUAAUUCAGUGAUGGCAAAUUUUUUAAUCACGUGCAAGAUGAAAAGAGUAUUAUAUGGUUCGUAAUGUUUGGAAUGUCAGGAAGUAUGGUAAAUAAAAAAUAUAGCGUUCUAAUAAUAACGAUAGUUUAGGAACGAGCAAGUUUUCCGAGAACUUGUUUGGAAUUUCUCAAAGGUUCCCAUGUUUCUCAUUUUUCGCGCUAAAUCACUUCCAAAAAAUUUUCAUAGUUAAGCUUUUAUCAUUCUAUUCGUAAAGCUAGUUGCCCCUGAUCAACUAAUAACUCGAACUUUUGUUAAAUGCCGGUUACAAAUAUUAACUAACCAACGAAUCGAAUUUAUCUUUUUAUUGAUCAACAUAACUUUUGCCCAACUCUUCUAUCUAACGAACACGCGUGUAAUCUAGAUGACUGUUAAAAAUAAGCAAGACGAGUUCAAGCAAAUCAUCCGGGGCGUAGGUCCAAAAACUGAAAAUACGUGCCGGCCCACGGUGUGACUUUUCGUUUGCUGGCUUACAACCGCGUUAGGUCCUCACCCAGCGCGUUCCACUUCCGUGCGUCAUCGUGGACGCGUAAUACACGUUUAAAUGACGGCUUUAGGAACUGAAUAAUCAGAGACGUAUGCCAGACUACCGGCCAAACACGUGGAUCAACGUCGAUGACAGCUGAUAGCGUUAGGUGCCCCGACACCUGUUACUUCUUUGUUUCAUUGUUCCCUGCCAGAACGAUCGCGUCAGAAUGUAUCACGGUUAAGAGUGUUCAAGGUUUAACUGUGAUCUACGAAUUCUCUAGCUAUGUGGCGGUUUCGCGUGAUCCGAUGAAGGGUGGGCGAGAAUGUAACAGAGGCAAAGGAAACUUUCGCACAUCGGCCUUCAAUGUUGAAACUUUAACUAUCAACCGAAGACAGCCAGCUCGACACGUUGCGGUGAAACGCUAGAAACCAUUUAACCCAGAAAAUAUCAAACGUCUGGACACAUCAAAAGUUACCUCUAACGCUGCUCGAGUUGAGAUUCACAGAAGCUCUUUAGAAAUCAAUAACGUUAGCUCGAUGGAGAUACCAAACUUUGUCGGUUUUCGACGAAUAAUUAAUUGAGAAAUCUCACUUUGCUUGAAAUUUGUAUCGUUGAUAUAUAUAUAUAUUUUUUGGUAGAGUAUUUGUUUAGCACCUUUAAUUUUUUUAACGAAUUCUCAGUGAAAUUUAAAUAAAAAAUAGUGGAGAGUAUGAUGUACUAUACAGAAACCUGUAUAGAUACGUACGAACGUAGUAAGUAGAUUCAGAGUGCAAUUGGUCAGACAAACGAAAUCUGAUACUAAAGUAAACCAUUUUAUGAUGUAAAAUGAUUACAAAUACGAGGCAAGUGAUAAACAUGAAGUAAAUUAGAGUUUGCUUAUAAAUAUUGGACCUAGCUAUGAAACAAAUCGAACAAAUAAAUAAACGUGUUCAAUUCUCUUCUUUCAAGACCACGCUCUCCAAUAUUAAAAAAAAAAAAAAAAA
rnacentral:lncRNA from 1 species